rnacentral:pre_miRNA from 1 species
GGGGGAGUGCCGGAUCUUGGGCUGUGUCCCCUAGCACCCUGGGCUCCUGGGCUUGCGCCUCUUGAAUCGCGCUCCCAGGCCACGCAGGCCCUC